rnacentral:rRNA from 1 species
GAGUUUGAUCCUGGCUCAGGACGAACGCUGGCGGCGUGCUUAACACAUGCAAGUCGAACGGAAAGGCCCUUCGGGGUACUCGAGUGGCGAACGGGUGAGUGACACGUGGGUGAUCUGCCCUGCACUUUGGGAUAAGCCUGGGAAACUGGGUCUAAUACCGAAUACACCCUGCUGGUCGCAUGGCCUGGUGGGGGAAAGCUUUUGCGGUGUGGGAUGGGCCCGCGGCCUAUCAGCUUGUUGGUGAGGUUACGGCUCACCAAGGCGACGACGGGUAGCCGGCCUGAGAGGGUGACCGGCCACACUGGGACUGAGAUACGGCCCAGACUCCUACGGGAGGCAGCAGUGGGGAAUAUUGCACAAUGGGCGCAAGCCUGAUGCAGCGACGCCGCGUGGGGGAUGACGGCCUUCGGGUUGUAAACCUCUUUCAGUAGGGACGAAGCGCAAGUGACGGUACCUACAGAAGAAGGACCGGCCAACUACGUGCCAGCAGCCGCGGUAAUACGUAGGGUCCGAGCGUUGUCCGGAAUUACUGGGCGUAAAGAGCUCGUAGGUGGUUUGUCGCGUUGUUCGUGAAAACCGGGGGCUUAACCCUCGGCGUGCGGGCGAUACGGGCAGACUUGAGUACUGCAGGGGAGACUGGAAUUUCUGGUGUAGCGGUGGAAUGCGCAGAUAUCAGGAGGAACACCGGUGGGCGAGGCGGGUCUCUGGGCAGUAACUGACGCUGAAGACCGAAAGCGUGGGGAAGGGACCAGGAUUAGAUCCCCUGGUAGUCCACGCCGUAAACGGGUGGUAUUAGGUGUGGUUUUCCUUCCUUGGAUUCCGUGCCGUAGCUAACGCAUUAAGUACCCCCGCCUGGGGAGUACGGCCGCAAGGCUAAAACUCAAAGAAAUUGACGGGGGCCCGCACAAGCGGCGGAGCAUGUGGAUUAAUUCGAUGCAACGCGAAGAACCUUACCUGGGUUUGACAUGCACAGGACGCUGGUAGAGAUAUCAGUUCCCUUGUGGCCUGUGUGCAGGUGGUGCAUGGCUGUCGUCAGCUCGUGUCGUGAGAUGUUGGGUUAAGUCCCGCAACGAGCGCAACCCUUGUCUCAUGUUGCCAGCACGUUAUGGUGGGGACUCGUGAGAGACUGCCGGGGUCAACUCGGAGGAAGGUGGGGAUGACGUCAAGUCAUCAUGCCCCUUAUGUCCAGGGCUUCACACAUGCUACAAUGGCCGGUACAAAGGGCUGCGAUGCCGUGAGGUGGAGCGAAUCCUUUCAAAGCCGGUCUCAGUUCGGAUCGGGGUCUGCAACUCGACCCCGUGAAGUCGGAGUCGCUAGUAAUCGCAGAUCAGCAACGCUGCGGUGAAUACGUUCCCGGGCCUUGUACACACCGCCCGUCACGUCAUGAGAGUCGGUAACACCCGAAGCCGGUGGCCUAACCCCUUGUGGGAGGGAGCCGUCGAAGGUGGGAUCGGCGAUUGGGACGAAGUCGUAACAAGGUAGCCGUACCGGAAGGUGCGGCUGGAUCACCUCCUU